AUUAAACGCUGGCGGCAUGCCUUACACAUGCAAGUCGAACGGCAGCACGGGGCAACCUGGUGGCGAGUGGCGAACGGGUGAGUAAAGCAUCGGAACGUGCCCUGGAGUGGGGGAUAACGUAGCGAAAGUUACGCUAAUACCGCAUAUUCUGUGAGCAGGAAAGCAGGGGAUCGCAAGACCUUGCGCUCUGGGANCGGCCGAUGUCGGAUUAGCUAGUUGGUGGGGUAAAGGCUCACCAAGGCGACGAUCUGUAGCGGGUCUGAGAGGAUGAUCCGCCACACUGGGACUGAGACACGGCCCAGACUCCUACGGGAGGCAGCAGUGGGGAAUUUUGGACAAUGGGCGCAAGCCUGAUCCAGCCAUGCCGCGUGCGGGACGAAGGCCUCGG
rnacentral:rRNA from 1 species